AUCAAGCAUAACACUCCAACCAAUUCCAUCAUCAGCUUCUCUAGUUGUCACUUUCUUGUAAAACCUUUUCCCCACAAUCGAUCCAGUCAUGAAUGACAUAGGCAUAGACACAGAUGCUGAAUCUUGUGAUGACAAAGGUGAAGUCAUUUUUGGACCAUUUAUGAUAAUAUUAUCAUGGGUUGUUGCAGAAUUUGGAUCUCCGCCGUGAAAAGUGAAGGAGGAAGAAGAUGGGUCAUCUGAUGAUUCGGGUUGUGCCGAAGUUGCUAACUUCCCCACAAUUGAUCCAGUCAUGAAUGACAUAGGCAUAGACACAGAUGCUGAAUCUUGUGAUGAUAAAGGUGAAUUAUUUUUUGGACCCUUUAUGAUAAUAUUAUCGUUGGUUCUUGUAGAAUUUGGAUCUCCACCGUAAAAAGUGAAGGAGGAAGAAGAUGGGUCAUCUGAUGAUUCGGGUUGUGCUGAAGUUGCUAAGUUACUGAA
rnacentral:lncRNA from 1 species